rnacentral:rRNA from 1 species
CGGCGGACGGGUGAGUAAUACAUGGAUAAUCUGCCUUUAGGACCGGGACAACCCAGGGAAACUUGAGCUAAUACCGGAUAAGACCACAGAAUCUCCGGAUUCAGUGGUAAAAGGUGGCCUUCGGGCUAUCACCUAUUGAUGAGUCCAUGUCCCAUCAGGUAGUUGGUGAGGUAACGGCCCACCAAGCCGAAGACGGGUAGCCGACCUUAGCGGGUGAUCGGCCACACGGGGACUGAGACACGGCCCCG